rnacentral:lncRNA from 1 species
CAGGACGAGCCGCAGACAAAACUCCUUAGACACCGGAUUGAAGAAGGCAGACUUGCGUCUCAAAAGCCGAGCUCACCGCGUGAGCAAUUCCCGUCCCUUUUAAGGGCUUACGACUCUAAGGGGGUCUGCGUGAGAGGGUCGUGAUCGAUUGAGCAAGCCAGGGGUACCUGACUGGGGGCUGCAUGCACCGAAUUCUAUGAAAGAAAAAAAUCCCAUUUUCCCAGGGAGAAACUGAACCAUUCUGACCUCUGGUUAUGGCUGUCAUCCAAACAGUUUAUAUAACCUGUCUGGGAAAUUGAAGAUUGUUCAUAUCUAACUCUGCAGUUACAAAAGGACCAUGUCUCAUGGAAUUAUCCACGCUCAGAUCUUCCGCAUGGCUCAAAACCAUUUUUGGGAUAUGAGACAGGGUCUCACUAUGUUGCUCAGGCUGGUCUCAAACUCCUGGCCUCAAGCGAUCCUCCCACUUUGGACUCCUAGGAUUACAGGUGUGAGCCACCAUGCCGGCCUCUGUCAAGUCUUAUUACUUUAAAUUAUUUACCUCUGUUUGUUUAUAUAUACUUACAUACUCUGAUGGUUUAAAAGAAUAUGCAGUGAAAAUUAAGUCUCCUUCCCAUCCUCUGCACCCUGGGCACCCAGGAUCCUUUCUUAACAACCACUGUUACCAGUUUAUUGUUAACAUAGGUUUUAAUGCACUAGAAAUGUAGUAUCAGAGCACCAUCAAAAUAGUAACAGAGUGUUGUAUAUCUCCCCUGUAAGAGUCACAGCCCACACCUCUACAACAAACACAGGGUAACAAGAGAAAAGCAAAACAGCUGGGCACAGUGGCUCAUGUCUGUAAUCCCAGCACUUUGGGAGGCUGAAGUGGGAGGAUUGCUUGAGGCCAGUAGUUCGAGGCUGCAAGUCAGCUAUAAUUGCACUACUCCACUCUAGCCUGGGUG